rnacentral:sRNA from 1 species
AGAAGCGGAGAUUUAACGGGGACGUGUGGUCAGAGCUGGGGAAAUGGGCCCGCGAGCCAGGCCGGCGCUUCUCCUCCUGAUGCUUUUACAGACCGCGGUCCUGCAGGGGCGCUUGCUGCGUUCACACUCUCUGCACUACCUCUUCAUGGGUGCCUCAGAGCAGGACCUUGGUCUUUCCUUGUUUGAAGCUUUGGGCUACGUGGAUGACCAGCUGUUCGUGUUCUAUGAUCAUGAGAGUCGCCGUGUAGAGCCCCGAACUCCAUGGGUUUCCAGUAGAACUUCAAGCCAGAUGUGGCUGCAGCUGAGUCAGAGUCUGAAAGGGUGGGAUCACAUGUUCACUGUUGACUUCUGGACUAUUAUGGAAAAUCACAACCACAGCAAGGAAGGAAGUGAAAGUUCCAAUCUUCCUGGCAAGGAUAAACAGAUCCCCUCUCCUCAUCCUUCCUCUUUCCUGUCAAGUACCUCCUUUGGUGAAGGUGACACAUCAUGUGACCUCUUCAGUGACCACUCUACGGUGUCGGGCCCUGAACUACUACCCCCAGAACAUCACCAUGAAGUGGCUGAAGGAUAGGCAGCCAAUGGAUGCCAAGGAGUUCGAACCUAAAGACGUAUUGCCCAAUGGGGAUGGGACCUACCAGGGCUGGAUAACCUUGGCUGUACCCCCUGGGGAAGAGCAGAGAUAUACGUGCCAGGUGGAGCACCCAGGCCUGGAUCAGCCCCUCCUUGCGAUCUGGGGUAUGUGACUGAUGAGAGCCAGGAGCUGAGAAAAUCUAUUGGGGGUUGAGAGGAGUGCCUGAGGGGAGCCCUUACCGUCUGGCACCCUAGUCAUUGGAGUCAUCAGUGGAAUUGCUGUUUUUGUCGUCAUCUUGUUCAUUGGAAUUUUGUCCAUAAUAUUAAGGAAGAGGCAGGUUUCAAGAGGAGCCAUGGGGCACUACGUCUUAGCUGAACGUGAGUGACACGCAGCCUGCAGACUCAUUGUGGGAAGGA